rnacentral:rRNA from 1 species
CCUACGGGUGGCAGCAGUGAGGAAUAUUGGUCAAUGGACGAGAGUCUGAACCAGCCAAGUAGCGUGAAGGAUGACUGCCCUAUGGGUUGUAAACUUCUUUUAUAUGGGAAUAAAAUGUUCCACGUGUGGGAUUUUGUAUGUACCAUAUGAAUAAGGAACGGCUAACUCGGUGCCAGCAGCCGCGGUAAUACGGAGGUUCCGGGCGUUAUCCGGAUUUAUUGGGUUUAACGGGAGCGUAGGGGGAUGGUUAAGUCAGUUGUGAAAGUUUUGGGCUCAACCGUAGAAUUGCAGUUGAAACUGGCAGUCUGGAGUACAGUAGAGGUGGGCGGAAUUCGUGGUGUAGCGGUGAAAUGCUUAGAUAUCACGAAGAACUCCGAUUGCGAAGGCAGUUCACUGGACUGCAACUGACACUGAGGCUCGAAAGUGUGGGUAUCAAACAGGAUUAGAUACCCCGGUAGUC